GGCUCUGGUCAUCCCCUCAAUUCUGCACUAGGAACAGAGAAAGCGUGCAAAGAGGAACAGAGAGGAAAACAGGGAAUUAUCCAAACUGCAACGAGAAGGAGGAAGAGAAGCAGGCAAGCAGCAGCUUGUAGGACAGAACGCAACUCAUCAGGACAUGUUGCUCUCUAAUAUCAUGAUGUUCUACACAGAAACUGGGUCUGGAACAGGCUUACUAUAGCAUACAUCUGCCAACAUCAUAUGACUAUGAUCUACUCCAGCGCAGACAGAGUAAACACAUUCUGCUUUCCCCAAAAGAGCCAUUUGCAUAUAAAAUAUCUCCAUCACAUGAUCUACCAGCAGGCAGAGGGGAAGAGGGGGAGCAUCAGGGUGGAACAGCUGGGUCCAACCAGAACAGCAAAACAAGGAAAUCCAUCAUGUGAGCAGGAGGUUUCUCAUGGACGCAGAGGAAACAUCAGAAACUUGUGACUCUGAGCUCAGCCCAUCACACAGGAAACCUUCCAGGACUCCAGCUUAGUAGAACAUGGAUAUACCAUGAGGCUCAGGAACGUUACAAUUAAUGAACCGGGUCGGAAUGAUUAAAGUUCCAAAAUAUACAAUCCAGAACCACUGUUAUAUUAAAACAACAAAAAAUAAAGGUCUAGUGUGAAUGUUUGAACUACUAGUCCACAUUACUGAUGCCUACUAACUUAAACCUACUAAGUAAAAAUAAGUGUACAUAUAUAGGCUGCAUCGGUUUCUAAGAUGCACGUGUCCAUGUUGUAACAUGAGGUAUUUACACAGAAAAUUUGAUUCAUUUUUUAACUUUUAAUGAAAUGAGUACAUACUGGAAAAAUACAGAAAUAUACCAGAGUCUACUAAACGUCUGCCUAAUAAAAAAAUAUACAGUAGUACAGCAGGAAAAGUAACUAAUAACCAUCUUCAUCUUCCUUCUCUCUCACUGUCACUUUCAUUGAAGCAUAUUCUAUCGCAAGCUUGUGCUGUCCUCUUCAUCACACAGCAGCCCAGCCUUUCAAAACAUGUUGUGUAGUUGCCACUACUGACUACUUGUCAUGAUGGGAAUGCUCAAGCUGAACACAGAUGUUCAGUGGAGCUGAGAUCAGGGUGGGCACCAGGCCAUUUCACCCUCUCAGAGAAUCUCAUCUUGAUUUAUCUGAUCUGAGACUGGCUCCAAUAAGGACAGGCCUUGGAGAUGCCGACCCACAGCAUCACACUGCCUCCACCAAAACCUGCUUGGUAUAGGCAGAAAGAAUCUUAUACCUGCAAACUCGAUUCUGUUGCUUAACCCCUUUUUCCAAAUGUGUAGAAAUUUAAGCGAGAAUAAAGCCUUUAACAUACAAAAUAUAUUUUCAAGAAACAUUCUUAAAGUGG